ensembl:lncRNA
GGGGAGGUGAGGCGCGGCGCAGCGCGGCGCGAACUUGUUUUGCGUGGCUUGAGAGUGAGUGAGUGAGUGAGUGUUGUGCUGCGCGGCUGAAUGUCGGGAUUGCGCUUCCCGUUUGACAAGGAGGAGGAGAAAGAAGGAACAGCCGACACAGACAGACACACAGACAGACAGAGAGAAGCAGAAGUACUCACAGGUCGUAUGACAGGGAUGCGGAGCUCUGGACUCGGCUUCUUGACGGAAUAAAUAAAAGCGCGCGCCAGUGAGGACAGCAGUGACAGGUUAGACACCACCUUUAUCUUCUGCACUUCUAAAAACACCGUGCCUGGACAGUAAGGACAGCCUUUUCUGCUUAUCCAGCUUCGGAUAGAAAUGUCCUAGUGUGCGUUUAGUACUGACAUAACGUUUGCGUAGACAACCUAGGCAGUAUGUCCAACAAAAACAUAAAAGCCAGCUCUAAAACAUGGAAUGUACCAUUAGUUUUCGUAAGGGUUGCGCGCGAGUAUGAAAACGGACUUCCUGUAAACCAGCUGGUUUGUUUUGCAACAGUAACGAAUGACUCGUUUGUCUGUAAUCUCCAAAUCAGACGUGAGACAUGUACGGAGAGAGAGAGAGAGAGAGAGAGAGAGAGAGAAACCCUUACUUCGAGUUUUGUCUUUGACUGCGAGUAAGGAAAAUAUCUCGCUCUUGCUAUCCAGUGGAGUGAAGACAGCAGUGCAGGCGUUGCUGCAUGUAACCUGGAAAAACACUGUUGAUAUUCUUGGAAGUGACAUGCACAUUGGAAGUGCCAGGCAGUGUGAGAGCACUCCUGCUAAUAUAUCAACACGGAGAGCAUGGCGUGAGCUGUUAGGAGGAAGAGGAUGGAUGAGUGAGGCAAGGACAAGCGUCUGAAGUACAGUAUAAGGCCAUGCUGAAUGAGGCUGACCUACCUCAGCCUCCAUCAGUUUAAAGUUCACCUACUGUAUGUUUGCCUGUCUCAACGGGCUAUGCGUGAAGAUGUUACAUGGCUGCUAACUCCUGCUUUGAUUAAUUGGCACGUGUGCUGAGGAAGAACCAUUCCUCACUCGCAUUAAACCCAUUCACUGGCCACUGACACUCUGCCAGAGCUCUGCUUUCCAUUUAACACUGGCAAGCUUAUGUGCAUUAUAAUUAUAGUAUUAUACAGCAUAAGCUUGAUAAAUGCAAGCUUGUUUUUAUUUAAAUCUCAUUAUUCAUUUUUGGAGCAAACAUUAAUGGUUGUCUCACCUUGCUAUGAUUUAACAUCUCACCUCGCUACGAAUUUCAACAGCUCUAAAACAAAGUGAUGUUGUUGAAAUAUGAUUGUGCCUGUUUUUUGUUUUUUUUUAAACCAUGGCGUAAGAACUGAAGGCAGCUGCUAUGUGUUAUGUGUAUUUUAUCGCUAGUCUCUCACCUUCCUCAUGUUGGCAUCCUGACUGAGAACACGCUCUUUACUGCUACAGCCAGUAAAGAAGUGUGUUCAUAAUACUGUGUUUCUGUGCAUAAUGACAUGAAUAAUAUGUUGUUCUGUUAUUUUGCCAUCAAUCCAUAUAUCCUUCAUGUCCUUCUUCAGCUCUAGAUCAGAGGCUUUUACCUCUAAAUAUCCACUUGCCUUAGCAACUGCUACAGGUCUCAAAGUCAUUGUCUGUGUCUGUGAUCACAGAGAUCGGUUAAUCAUUAGCUAUACCAUUGCACCUCGGCAUGCCAACGUCAGCGCUGCCACGAUCACAUUUCAACCACACACUCUUAAUUGCAUGCUUUUUCAUAUCAUGGUUAGACAUUGUGCAAGUCUCACCACAGUUUGGUUAGUGUAAGACUAAAUUCAUCACGUUGAUACCAGAAGCACCUCACCUGAAGCAAAGGUUCAAGUCACACAUAAGGAGGAGGAAGGAAUGGUUUUAACUUUUGUUGUAUUGGCAGUUGGCAGGAUUCUUCUUCAGGGCUCUUAUUGUUAGUCUUGAGCUUCAGUAUCCUGUGUAGUGCCUUCAUUGCCAGAGCUUGUAUUAUGAGGUAAGUACAAUGCUGUGUGGAUUAGCUCUCAAGUCUAUUUGGCAUUGUUUAACCUGUUAGAUGCAGGUCCAAUCUCAAUUUCAAAUACUACCCUGGCUACCAUAAUGACACAGUGAUGCAGCAUGUAGCGUUGCCUCCACAGAGCUCUAGGGUCCUAGGUUAUUUGUUCUCCUUGUGGGAUUUCUCCAGGUUCUCUGGUUUCCUCCCAUAUCCCAGAAACAUGUAGGUACAUUAUAUAGCCAAAAGUAUAUGGACACCUAACCGUUAUACCCAUACGUGCUUGUUGAACAUCCUGUUCCAAGUUGGUUCCCCCUUUACUGCCAUAACAGUCUCCACUCUUUUACAAAGGCUUUCCGCUAUAUUUCGGAAUGUGGCUAUGUGAAUUUCCAAUUCUGCUACAUGAGCAUUAGUGAGGAUGUUGGAUGCGAAGGCCUGGUGUUCCAGUUCAUCUUUAAGUGGGGUUGAGGUCAGGGCUCUGUGCAGGCCACUCGAGUUCUUCCACUCCAAGCUUGGCAGGCCAUGUCUUCAUGGAGCUCUCUUUGUGCAAAGGCGCAUUGUCAUGCUGGAACGAGUUUGGGUCCCUUUAUUCCAGUGAAAGGAAUUCUUAAUUCUACAGUAUACAAAGAUAUUCUAGACAAUUGCAUGCUUCCAACACUGUGGUUUAGGGAAGAGUUUAGGGAACAGUUUAGGGAAGAACCACACAUUGGUCUAAUGGUCAGGUGUUCACAUACUUUUGGCCAUAAUGUGUAGGUGGAUUGACUACGCUAAAGUGAAAAUGUUUCCAUGUAACAGCAGGAAAAUCCAUGGGGGAAAAUCAUAUUCCACUCAGCUGUUUUGCCAUUUUCAGUGGCUGUUACAGCUAAAGCUGUACAUAAAAAAAAAGAUAAUAUAACUUGCACAACACAACGGAAGGGAGAUAAACAUGCAUAAAGAUCGUACAAAGUGAUACUAAUUAUUACACAUCUUUUGCAUUUGUAAAUUAUCCCACUUUAUUUUUUAUUUUUUUUAAAUGACAUGGGUAAAUAAAUUUGAGCUGGCCACAAAACCUAUCCAGCCAUGAUAAUGGUUUACCAAACUUUCCAUGCUAACUGAAAGCAGAUUUGUGCACAUUUAAUUGUUGCUGGUAGCUGUUCUUAUUUAGUCCUGAUAAUGUACACACAUGCUCACACACUCACACUUGGAACAUCCCUUGGCCAUUGUUUGUAGCGUGACUGUGUACACAUGGGCUACAGAAUCCCAGGGACAGAAGAAAGCAUAGGCUUACACAAUCUUUUCAUGUCAUUAGUUAUUUCUCCUGUUCUUUAAAACACCGGGGAAUAAUUGAGUACCUGCACCCAGGAGGAAAAGCAUGCAGAGACCUAUAAAUAUAACCUCCACAACCACACACACACACACACACACACACACACACACAGACUACAUCCUCACUUACUCAGUCAGUCUCUUUUGAUUCUUGAAUAUUCCAUUGUUGGCAUAACAAGAAAUAUGAUGCGUCUAAGAAACAUGACCUUGAUGUUAAGAUUAGUGCUUAGCAUGGGGUUUAACAUGAAGCCCUGAAUCUAUGCACGAGCUUGUAUAAUCACUGUGUUUCCAUACUGUUUUCAUAACAUACCAACACACACCCUGUGGCUGAACGAACGAUAUUCAUAAUACUGUCACUUCUUAUCUAAAGGAAAGCUCUGUGUCAUGACUGCAUAGUCCUUAAGACUAAGUUUGUUUAAAGCAGUAACAUUUCAGGCCAAGUGGUAUAAUUUUGUAAUUUCUAACUUAAAAAGCUCCUCAGCAAAAUACCUUCUUGUAGCUUUUGUUGUCAUCAUAUUUGUCCAUGGAUAAAGCGUUUAUUUUGUGUCUCCUGUUCUCCGUAAUUGUGUUAUAUAUCUUUUGUUACCUAAGUGCUGGAUACUAGCAGUAGUUUGCAGGUUUGUCCUGGAGAGCCGUGCUGCUGACUGUGCGUAAUUUAGGUCAGGAGUCUAGGCGAAUGCUGUGCGGUCUUGUUAAACAUUAUUUGGCCUGGACCCAGAGGAGUGUUGGCUACCUCUGAAGAUGAAGAUAGCAUUUCCUUGUCCCUAAAAGCAAACUCAUUUGAUCAGCUGACUUCGGUUCUACUGUGAAUAGCAUAGAGUAGCGCUGAUGUGUUAAACGUUAAACAUCUGCGUGAAAUUUAAGCAAAGAAGACAUGUUAGUGUUUGACGAUUUACAGCAACGUUAAUGAUUUUGCCAUGGGACAAGAAUAAGAGGCCGAAGAACUCUGUGCUUUUAGCCACGGUGACUGCUCGAAUAGCUGUGUUUACUGUGCGUUCCGCUCACUUUCGCAACACGGCCGUGCAUCACCACCAUGAACACCACAAGUAUGCUUCUAGGAGCUCAGGGCACUGUCCUCAGUGACCAGUCGCAGCACAAAAAUGCAUUUAUAGCAAGACUUGUUUUUGAGGUUUUCAUGGCUGGACGAAGACUUGUGUUUAAGAUAAGCACAUAUAUAUUUUGCACAUGAGGCACAACUCCCGCCUGAGUUUAUCUUAGUUUCAGUCCGCUUCGGCUUGCAUCUUAGUGUCUUUUCCUUUUAUAAUGCCAUUAUACACAGAAAUAUUGUAUCUGGACACAAAUUUAUAAAUGCUUUUGUGUCUUUUUGGAGAGCUUUUUGGAUUUUUAUGGCAUAUUAAUUUUUUAAAUUUACAUUUUCAUUUAUAGCAUUUAGCAGAUGUCUUUAUUCAGAGCGACUUACAUACGUGCUUUGUAGUCUCCAUCAAAAACAUAUCCUCAUGCUAGGGCAAAUAGGUCAGAAUCAAACUGUACUGUAGAUUAAUUUAAAAAGCAAACAAAAACAGUACAAGUUGAGUUUUUUUAUUAUUAUUAUUAUUAGUGCUCAUUUAAGUGCUUGGUGAAGAGGUAGAUAUCGAGCCUUCGUGACACUGCUGUUCAGACAGCCAGAGACGGUCACUCCGUCUGCUCCAUCGCUUCCUUUCUCGCACUGACAUGCACGCACGCACGCGCACACACACACACACACACACACACACACACACACACACACACACACACAAAAAAAAAACAAAUAAAAUCAAAGUUUAAAUCUUCUAUAUUUUCUCCAUCUGCCUCCCAUCUUCCUUUACUUUAACCUCAACUUCCUUCUUUGUUUGUACCCAUGUGUUUUCACAGAUGUGAAAACACAUGGAUACAGACAGCCAUUUCUGUUUCACUUCUGGGCUCCUGGUUGUCUCAGUGGUGCUUUGAGGGAGUUGGUGAGAGAUCCUGGAGCUUGCACGUUCAGCUGGAGGGAUAUGUGCUGAGGGAGAGGAAGAGGUUUGGUUGGAAAUUCCUCUAGCUGUGAGGAGCUUUAGCAGCAGCAGGCAGCACUCCUGAUAAGAAUCCCACACCUCUGUGGCAUUAGAUAUUUGGGCAAGUCACUAGGCAUCCUUUAGAUGUCUUAUUUUAUUUUCUGUGCUGUUGAGCGUUUCCUUGAUGAGCAGGAUUGUGACUGCUGGUUGGUGUAGUGGUGUGUCUGUGGUUCGUGUAUGGACUAGGCUUUCAAGUCAGUUUUAUAAAUCUAAUUAUCCUAUAAAACAGUAUUUUUCAUUUAAGUAUAUAUAGAUACACGAUAUGGCCAAAGGUUUGUGGAGAACCAUCACACAUAUAUGUAGGCCUUCCUCAAACUGUUGCCACAAGGUUGGUUGUAUAGGAUGUAUGUAUAUGAUGUAGCAUUACAACUUCCCUUCACUGGAUCUCAGAGGCCUAAACCUGUUCUAGCAUGACAGUGUCCCUGUGUACAAGGUGAGGUCCAUGAAGACAUGGCCUGCCAAGCUUAGAGUGGAAGAACUCGAGUGUCCUGCACAGAGCCCUGACCUCAACCCUACUGACCACCUUUGGGAUGAACUGGAAUGUCGACUAGGUCCCAGGCCUACUCACCCAACAUCACUAAAUGAUCUUAUUAAUGCUGUUAUGGCUGAAUGGACAAAUCCCAACAGCCACACUCCAAAAUCUAGUGGAAAGCCUUCUCAGAAGAGUGGAGGUUAUUUUAACAGUAAAGCAGGACUAAAUCUGGAAUGGUAUGUUCAACAAGCACAUAUGAGUGUGAUGAUCAGGUGUCCCCAAAUCUUUCCCCAAAACAAUGUAAUAUGACCUUGCAUGUUUUAACACCUUUACAGAACAGCUUUUAACUGUAACUGCAAGUUACUUGAGUCCAUCCUUAACAAAAAUAAAUCCUAUUGAAUCUAUUGAGUCGAUGGUUUUUAAAGACCAGAAAAACUGCAAAAAAACACAAACAAACAGUAGCCAGAUGAAUGAAUAAUAUAAGGUUGCUGAUGAAGCUUUUAUGUUUAAAAUUGAAGUGUUUAAUUCUGUAUCUUUAACCGUGUAUAUCUCAAGAGUACAGUAGUUGAAUGUGAGCAUUUGCAAAAUGCUUGAUCCGGAACCCCGGGUCUCGUCCUGUAAGCAGAGUGACUGAAUCAGAGCUGCUGUCAGUGCUUACAUAACCGUGUGUUCUUCUAGUCCCUGCUUUCUGCAGCUGUCUGCCUUGCUGCCAGCAGCAAGAGUGCUGCCAAACCCAGAGAGAGAUCACACACAUCCACUCUGUCCAACAUAUCAUACACCAACACCGUCCAGCAGGAGCCAACUGUCACUGCACAGCUCUCGGUACCACCAUCAGACCUGCUGCAUGUCUUAAACUUGGCCUUGGGGGAUGUUUGAUAGAACUCACUCCCCAGUUGAUUUUGGGCCCUAAAACAAACAUUCUGGAUAAGUUCUACAAAUAGACAUCUGUUCUCCAGGUACCGUCGUACUAUAAAUUUGAUUCACUUUGUUUUAAACUUUGCUGAAGUUUACUAGUUCAGUGAUGUCUCUGCAUCAUUUAAAUGUGUUAAAAGUUUAUGUGUAGUAAAUCAUCAGUGUUUUUUCUUUCUGCCUUUUUUAUCCACCCACUCUAAGAUCCCCUGUCAAUUGCUUACAGUCUUACACAUUUAAGGUGAAUAUAGUAAAUACGAUUAAUUAUAUUCCAAUUGAAUUGCUAGUUUGCAAAAAAUGUUGUCACUCUUGAAGGAACUCUGAUGUUGCCUGUAACUAUGUCCUGGUUAGUUGUGGUAUAAAUAUGAAGUUGCACACAGGUUUUUCAUUCACUAACAUGUGAAAAACCAAAUAACAUUUAAUACAAAAGAGACAGAUGUUGCUUAACCUGCACAAAUGAGGUAAUGUAUAUAAAAAAUAUCUAAUAAGUUAAAAUGCCAUUAAGCACAAUAAUGAUUAUUUUAUAUUACACAGGGUGUCCCAAAAAUAUAAUAUGGGAAAUUAACACUUUUUUGUAAAACGUCUUCCAAAAUUUUUCAUAAUUUUAAAAGUAAUCUUAAGAGUACCUUUGAGAAAAGAAGAACGUAUUGAAAUCAUUCUCAUGGCUGGAUCGGGAAGCUGUUGUAAGGUUGUGAUGGACUUUAAGAGGAAACAUGGCAAGCACAUCACACUCGACACUGUUGCCAAACUUAUUAACAAAUUCGAAAAGACUGGAAGAUUUGCGGACCGACCGAGAAGUGGAGGUCCACGAACAUCCAUUGAUGGAGGAACAGCCAACAUGGUGCUAGCAAACAUAGUCCCCUAUAUAUGGAAACUUUUGGGACACCCUGUAUAUUAUAUUCCAUAAUAGUGGGCCAUAACAGAAGGUUUCACAUAAAUGAAACGAAUGAAUUUUGCCAAGAAUUGCACCCAGUAGCACACUGUUCCUCACACAGUGAGGAGGAUGGUGAAGGAGGAAAAAAGGAUCCCAAAAUCAUCUGUUAAUAAUCACUUUCAUAAUAUGUUUUGAUGCAUUACAGAAAAAGAAAUGUUUCCUGAGAGAAAUGCAGAAAUGCAGCAACUUCACGUCAUUAGAACUAAAGUUGGCAUGGUGUGUUGUGGUCGGGGUAGACCACAGUCAAACAUUUUGGUCAUCCACACUGUCAACAUGUUUUUGACAAAAUGGGACUGCAUACUAGGAAAAUCACCUGAUACUCGCUGUAAAAUAUGGGGGAGGAUCAUUUGAUUUUUGAGACUCUUGGGACUUGGGCCUUGUUUCCUGGUUGACUCUGCCAGGAGGUUCAGACUUGGCCACAGUUUUGAGCAAAAUGAUUGAGGCAUACUUCCCAAGUCAGUGCUUAAAUGGUUAAAGAAAUUAACAACAGAUGUGUUGCAAUAAGCACCUCAGUUUCCGGAAGUGAAACUUACUGUAAACUUUUGAAGAUGGAAGUCCACAUGCUCAAACCCAAAAAUAUGAAGGAGCAUAAACAGUUCUGCAUGGAAUAAUGGACCCUGUUACAGUAUUGUUAUUCUCAUAUAUUUUGUAGUAAUUUUUACAAUUUAAGUGAACAAAAAACAGAUCAGUCACAUGGGAAAAGUAAGUACACCCCUACAUUUAUCACACCUUCAAAUCCAUAUAUUUGAAUCAGGUGUUCAAGAUUGGGUGCCAGUUAUUAGAAGAUGCUUAGAGAGUGUAGGUGGAACCGGUCUUAUUUAUACCCCUCUCAUAUCUAGUGUCUGGUGUUCCCUGGUGUUAUUGAGGUGUGUGGUGUCAUCAUGCCAAGAUCUAAAGAGUUCUGUAAGGCCGUCAGAAAAAAAAAAAGUUUGUGGAUACCCAUGAGUCUGGCAAGGGGUUUAAAAAGAUCUCCAAUUUAUUUGACAUGCAUCAUUCCACUAUAAGGAAAAUCAUCUACUAAUGGCACAGUUUUCAGAUGAAUUUCAAAUUUCAGAUUUCAAAUUUCAAAUUUGCAAUCCCAGCAAAUCCAGGCUGAGAGCAGAUCGUCUGAUGAAAAACGAAGUCUCCAAGAACCCCAAGAUUUCAUUACAGGAUCUACUAGUAAGUCUUGCAACUGUUGGUGUCAAAGGGCAUGCUUCUACAGUCAGAAAGCGGUUGCAAAAAUUUUAUCUGCAUGUGAGAUGUGCCAGGAAAAAGCCUUUGAAAGACUACAGUUUGCCAAUGAGCAUAUAGGCAAAGACCAGGCCUUUUGGAAUAAUGUGGUCUGUUCAAGUUCAAAUGGCUUUAUUGUUAUUUCAACCAUAUACAGCUGAUACAAUACACAGUGAAAAUAAACAACAUUCCUCCAGGACCAUGGUGCUACAUGAACAACACACUAAUUACAUGAGACAACACGGCACUAAAUAAGAUCUACACAUUUUUACAUAAAGUGCAUGUGCAAAUGUGUGCUAACAACACGAGACAGUACAGUACUACUAAAACAGGACAACAGGACAAAUAUAUAGUUGUUUGGCCUGAGUAACAGCAGACAUAUUUGGUGCGGACCAAAGACAGCUUUUCCGAAGAAGCACCUCAUACCAACUGUGAAGCACUAUGGUGGAAAUGUUAUGGUUUGGGGUUGCUUUACUGCCUCAGGGACUGGACAGCUUACAUUCAUUGACUCAACUAUGAAUUCUGCAUCAUAUCAAAGACUGCUUGAAGAUAAUGUGAGGCCAUCUGGCCGAAAUUUGAAGUUGGAUCUUUCAACAAGAUAAUGAUCCUAAGCACACUAGCAAAUCCACCAAGAAUGGCUCAAAAAGAAGAAAUGGAGGGUUAUGGAAUGGCCUAGUCAACGCCUGGAUUUGAAUCCCAUUGGAAUGUUGUGGGGGGAUUUGAAAUGGGCUGUACAUGCAAGAAAACCCUCAAACAUCUUGCAACUGAAAGAAUUUGCAUAUUGCAACAGCAAGCCGAUGUCAGAGAUCGGUGGACAAUUAUGCAAAACGCCUACAAGAAGUUAUUUCUGCUAAAGGGGUCAAUACUAGCGUCUGAGGCCAAGGGUGCACUUACUUUUUCCACAGAAGAAUAUCGCAUCUAUUGAUAUUUCUGUUGAAUAAAUGGUUGAAGAAGCUAUUUGUUCCUUGUGCUUUUGUUAAACUAUAGCAAAUUAAUUAAUAGGCACUGUUUCAAAGAUGAUCAAAUGUUUGCUUUUCCAAAUAUGUCAGAAAAGCCAAUAAUUUCCAUGGGAUAUACUUACUAAUUUUGAGAUUAUUAAUUGCUUAUUUUCAUGGCGGGUGCCAAUAAUUCUAUAUUUAGGCUGAAUGGGACUGUGAUUAAAAAGAAAACCGCACUGAAGCAGAAGUGCAUGAGCAGGAUGUGUUUAGUGUUACAGGCCACUCGUUCUGUCUGAGACCUUUGUUCCACACAGUCCCCCUGUCAAUGCAGUGAACAUAGAACAAUGUAGAGUUGCAGCUUCACCUAUCCUAUUAUCUCAUCACUGUCUUGUCUAGGUUUCACAAUGCCUAUAGCCAUGUUUGUGCCUGCUGCUGCCAGUUAAGGUCAUCUAAAGAGCAGAUAAGUUUAGAAGUCUUUAAUUAUGCAUUACAGAGUUGUUCUAAAGUAGAGUACAGUAGUUGUCAUCUGAACAACAUUCAGUUUUAUCAAGGUAUACAGAUGAGUACACGGGUUUGCUGUAGUAUAAAAAGAUUUUAUAUUGCAUCUCCUGGGGAUUUUUGUGUUCAUAUUGGGUUGCAUAAGAGUACCAGUAUUAAAAAGUAUUGAGGUGUAAAAUUACUGACAACAGUACACCACUACAGUUUUACACUACUGGCAUGAAUUAUUCUGCUCUUGAUAUGGGAGUACUAUAACUCUAUCUGCCUGUACAGGGAAUGUAGCCAUACACAUACACACAGAUUCCCUUCACUUUAAACCACAUCCCUUAGGCACUACACAUGGUGGACACAACAAAGAAUACAACAGCAAAAUGAAACCAAUUUACCAAUUGAUGAGAGGUGAAUGUAUAGAAAAAGGUAUUUGUCAGAAAAUAUGUGGGUUGCACCUAUAUAUGCCUAUUCGAAGGACUGAUUAUGAGUUAGAACUACUUGCCAGUUACAGUGACGGUGGAUGGAUUUAUCUACUUCAAGAAUGCAAGACUUAAAAACUGAGAUUACUAUGCGGUUAAUGUAAGUAAGAAAAGUAAAGACAACCCUAAAUACCGGGUAAGAACUUAAAGUUGGACUCUGUUCCUCAUUUCCUUGCAAGUUGCUUUUUAUGGUUUAAGCUAUGGCAUAAAAAUUUCUCUGCAUUUUUGUACUUAUUCAUCAUUUUUUUUAAAAAAUAUCUGUUUCAAGCCAUUAUUCAUUUUCAACAUGAUCGAUUAAAAUAAAUUAGCAUGAAUUUUUUCCCUCGUAUAGUGGUAUUGUUUAAAUGACAAUUUUGCACUGAAGUUAAAAGGUAUUUUAACAACACUAGUUAAUAAGCAUCCUGUAUGGCUGUGUUAUGUCUUUUUUGCUCAUGUGGGUCUCCCUGUUGUAAACACAGACAUGCUAUUUGUUCACUUAUUCCACCAGAAGCCCUAUAUUUUUAUGAAUGUCCUUGAAAAAGAGCUCUCCACUGGGUUUCACACACAGUAAAAGUGCGUGUGUGUCUGCCUGUCUGCCUGUGUGGGAGAUGUAGUCGUGUAUCGUCCACACACACAUACACACACACACACACACACACACACACACACACACACACACACACACACACACACACACACACACACACACACACACACACACACACACACACACACACAGAGUGGUAGACUUAGCAAACAGCCUGGCCCUUGUUCAGAGUGUAUGGUCCUUCCAAAUAAGGUUGGGCGAGUGGCCAGGUAUGCAGUGUUUCCUAACCAAGCAGUCCACAGUUUUCUCAAUAUUUACAGAAAAAUGGUUUACUCUUUAGCCUAACGCAGCAUUGAGGUAUGAGGAGUAUCAUGUUCUACAUGUCUGAGUAUGAUAGAAAUGCUUUGAGCUUGUCUUUGGGAUUUCCAUGACUAAUAGACUUAUUUAAAGUCAGCCGAACAUGUUUUUUUGGGGGGGGGAACCCCAUUUUCUUCUGUAUUAAAUAGUUAAUUGCUUUAUGUAACAGUUCUACAACAAAAAAUUUUAGACAAAAGCAAAAGACAGAAACAUGGCCGCCUUCUUUUUUCUUUUUUUCUUUUUUUUUUUUUUUAGCUAAUACCAUAGCUAGCUAGCAUUGGUCUGCUGCUAAAAAUUAUUUUGAUAAUCGUUAAUCUGUUGAUUUUGUUUUUCAAUUAACUGAAAUUUAGUAAAUCUUUACUAAAUGUAUUGGUAAAUAUAAUAAAUACCAAAAAUAUUUAUUUCAGUCAACAAAUACUACUACAAUACUCUUAACGUAUACCAAGCGUUUAAAUAAAUAACGGGUCAUAACACUACAAUGUUGUAUCUGUCAUAACAAUUAUCAAGCACAUGUUGAACACUUUUUUUCAAAGCGGACAUCCUAACUAACAAUCAUGGUCUUACAUACAUCUGUACUGAUUCCACACACUGUUUUUUGCAACUAUAUGUUGCUGUGAGCAACAGUCACUGGUAGAGGGCUUACCUGUAUAUCAAGCUCUAAUUUGUUCAAUUCCAACCAGCCAGAUUUUUUAUUUUUUAUUUAUUUAUUUUUUAUAAAAGGCUAUUAUCCACAGGCUAUCACACUAUCUGAAGCACUUGGAUGCUAAAUUUACUUUGAUUGUUGCAAGGUAAUUCAUUUUCGGUGUGUGGGUUUGACGCCAAAGAUUUGGGACUGACUCUUAGUGUUUAGUGCCUGGAAUCUGAGAAUUGGCUCUUUGACUCGCAGUCGCAGGACAUUCCAUUUGAACCAAC